CAAACGCACGCUCUGGGCCCAGGGUGGAGUGGCUUUUUACAGCACAGCCAUCCAGGCUGCUGCAAAAGGUGUCAGAAAACAGGCAAGGAGCUGUCCCUGUUCAUGAAGAGAGGCUUGUCUGGCAUUAGGCCCUGGGUCUUAGGGAGUGUAAAACUCGGCAAGGCGGGAGGUGCUCACGCUCAUGGCAAAGGCUCCAAAGGCAUUGAUUCAUUCUUUGUUUUCUUUUUUUUUUUUUAAAUGUGUGCCAAAUAUUUUUUAAGCUCAUUAAUUAAUGAAGGAACCAAUAAGAUGUUAAAAACUGGCUCAGGAGAGAAUCCAGGGCAGACAGUAACACAGGUUAUUAGGAAAGCGGAGGUGAGCUGGUCAAGAGACACCACAUUGGCUUCUUCCAAGAGCGGAUCUCACUCUAUCGCCCAGGAGAGCAGUGGCACAAUCAUAGCUCACUGCAGCCUCAAUCUCCCUGGCUCAAGCGAACUUCCUGCCUCAGCCUCCCAACAUAGCUGGGACUACAGGAACAGUGCCAGGCCACCCAUUGAAGUUACCACGUGUCAUGGCUGUGAGUGCCUUCACUACUUGGAGUAGGCUCAUUAGCAGACAACCCUCCCAGAGCCCUACGUGCAACCGGCAUCUAUAUGGUCUGUUCGGAGAUGAGUCUCGCUAUGUUGGCCCCAGGCUGGUCUUGAACUCCUGGAUUCAAGUGAUCAUCUUGCCUCAUCGGCCUCCCAAACUGCUGGGACUACAGACAAGGGAGUGGAGGUCCAGAAGAUAUUUUUUCCAAGGCCACAAUCCAGUUCCUGGUCAUCUCUGAGACGUCGUUUGGGAGUGCCCUCAUCCUGGAAGUCGUUCUGCAUCCCGUCUUGCCUCUUACAGCCUCCACUCCCAGCUCCUACGGCCCCCGGGUAACCCCUAUUGGCACUCAUUGCCCGCCACUGCCAUUCUGCCCACACAUCUGUCUGAACACAGCCUUUCUCCAGCAGGGAUCACAUCUGCAACCUUGGUAGCCUGCUCCAGUUCUGGACCUGGCAGCAGAGGACAGCAGGAAAUGGAAUGAAAUGAGGAAAAUGGCUUUAAUCUAAAAGAGGGCUUGAUAGGAUGAAAUGAAUCCAUUCUGAUAGAUUCACUCAUUCAUGAUUCACUGGGUCAACAAAUACUUUUUGAGCACAUGCUGUGUGCCAGGCGCUGUGCUGGCCCUGGGGCACCGUGAACAGCCAUUUCUGGCUACGUGGGAGUUCCCAGCUUUAGCUUACACAUACAUCAUGGGGUCAGAAAGAGAAGCGUAAAUAAUGAUUCUGGUCGGGGCAGUAUGAGAGGAAAGGAAAAACUGGGCCUAACCUGGCGGGGUCUGGGGUGGAAGCGAUGAUUUGGGGAGCAGAAGAGGGCCAUGGGCUGCAGCCAAGGCCUGGGGGCUGUUCCCUGCCCACCUGUGACCUUUAAGAGCCUAGGCCUGGAAGUUAGGAUCCUGGGCUCCCAGGCCUCUCUCUCAUGUGAGUGGCUCAGAGAGCUUGAGCAAGGCACUGCCCAGCUCUGGGUUGCAACUUCGAAGGAGAAGAAUCCAAGGCUGAAUGAAGCUUGAGCCCCCAGGUCUGAUCUCAGUCCAUGGGGGGGCCUGUCCUUGGCAUAAGCCCCUUGCUCUUGGGUGCAGAGGACACUACAGAGCCAGAGAUAGCCAGGGCCUCUUUCCCAGGCUGCUUGCUAACAUUCGAAGAACCCAUCUGCUCACCCACUGCUGCUAGAGUUGCCAUUUUAAUAACCAAGUCUAGGAGAUUCAAUUAAGAUUGGGAGCCCCAUCCCUCUUCUAGGGAGGCCUCACAAUUGGUGUUUUUCUUUGCGAAAGCAUGAGUGGGGCCCUUUGCAGGGGUUUUUGUACAGCAAGCAGCACAGAGAGAGAGAAAAAAAACUAACAACUUUGUUCAAAGAUGCCAGUAAUAGGGGGGUUUCUUUCCCGUCUCCCCAUGGAAGGUUGUCAACAGUACAGGCACAAUCAGGCCGGCUGCUGGCCUGCUCAGAGAGGGGGACGUGUGCUCCUUUGUUAGGAUGGGCUGAGUAGGAUGCCCCUGCACCCAGACCUGGUCUCCCGGCUAACAAAGGGCCCCUUUAUCACCCUGGGCAAAGAGUGCUGCUGAGGUUGCCACAGCAACUCGGGGACACAGACUUAACGUGCAAGUGACAUUUCAGAUGGUAACCGGGCAUGCAAAAAUUCAAAUUUCUUUAUGUAGAGUGGUUUCCUUCUCUGGAUAUUUUAAGGGAACCAUAUCACAAACAAAAGAAAAAAAUAAAUAAGCUAAGAAUAAAUAAUAUACAGUCAAGCCAGCAAAGAGAAUAUUGCAAUUCAGAAUGCUGGUUCCUCCCCUCUUGAUGAAAAAGUUGGGUGAAAAGUCUUGCUGAAGGCAUCGCUGGAGGCCCCGGGUAAGCUGAGGGUUUUUCCUAUUUGAAAGGCAAUUGGACAUCAUUAAAGAAAGUUUGGGGGAAAAAAAUAAUCUGGCAUUGCAGUCACUAGACACAGGACACUGUUCCUUGUCUCUGUCUGUGUUUACCAAACACUGCUGGAUGAUAUGCGACAUUCCAGGCCGAGAGCUGGGCUGGGGUAUGCAAAGAGACGUCAGGCUCCUGCGGCCCAAGGUGGACAGUAAAUCGGGCUCCCAUGUAAACGUGAUCUCCAUACAUCACUGCAUUGCCUUUAGUUGAGGUCAAGGCAGUUGCCUCUCAGAGGAAGUAAUGCAUAUGGCAUGAGCAGGGAAAAUGGAACUUGGAUUUGCUGCCAACCCAGUGUUGAUACUUUGUUGCUAUUCGCUGGAUGGAAUGAGGGAGACCCUGAGGGAAGGAAGGAAGAGGAGGAAGGGCAACCUCUACAUUCUUCUCUGGUGGAAAGCAGGGUAAAUAGCAUGAUGCAGGCACAAAUGUUUACCCAACUGCCACCAUAACACAGAAGGUAUUUUUCCUCCACAUUUUAUUAUGACAGUUGAAUAAACAAUGUGGACGGAAUAUGACAGCGAACACCUGUAUAUCCGUCACCUAGAUUCCACCGUUACUUUCCUCCCCUGGUUUUGUUACACACUUACUGUCCAUCUAUCUGUUUCUCUAUCCAUUGAUCAAGCUCUCUUCUUUUGGGGGUGCAUUUCAAAUUGCAGACAUCCUUUCACUUCCCCUAAAAUACGUCAGCAUGUGUAUCAUCAGUUAGAGUCUGGUAUUUGUUUACAAUUUUUUUAAUGUGAAAUUCACAUACGAUGCAAUGUACCAACCUUAAAUGUACAUUUUCUGAGUUUUGAGGAAUGUGACUGCCUAUGUAACCUGAGCCUUCACUAAGAUAUAGUAUAUUAGGGUUACCUCAGAAAGUUUCCUUAUGUUCCUGCCCAAUCUCCCCCACUGGCCAACCAUUAUAGCAAAAAUAACGUUCUCAUGUUGCUUUGUAGUCGUUACGGUAAUACAUUCUUCUGUUCACUUAAUUCAUUCUUUAGUCACACAGGGCCUUCACUGGCCCAGGCACUUGGUACAUGUCCCCAUAUGCGGUGAUGUGUAAAGGCUCUGGGUUUGAAUCUCAGGCCUAGAGUUUUGUAGGGCAAGCCAUCUAACCUCUCUGAGCUCCACUUUCCUGACAUGUAAACUGGGGAUGGUAACAUUAGCAACAGCCUCACAAUGGGUAGAUUAUGUGAGAUGAUACAUGCCAACCACUUAGUACAUAGUAAGUGCUCAAUAAACAUAUUGUCUUGAUGGACACCACAGCUGAAUGGUUGCUGUCAGCACUCCGGAACUUUAAAACCCUUUGUCCAUUAACUCGACUAUUGUCUCUGUCUAAUUUUGGCUACUGAAAGCCCUGCUUCUCUGAACGUUUUUGGACAAGGACAUUUAGGCUUCUGCAGAACGAUUUUCCAAAGCUCAGUGGAGACUUGGAAGGGAGUGACCAGAGAGUUGUACAUCUUUUAUUUUUGUGUUCUUGUCCUCACGCGCCCCUUAAAGCGGGCCUGCUCCUGAAGCCACCAGCAGUUGGGGAAUGGCCAUCACCGGAAGGGGCUUUGCCAAAGGUUGUCCUCAAGGUGAGAAGUAGUAGCUGACUCUAUCUUUAUUCUCCUUUGCCCAAGCCUGUGCUAUAGCAGAUGAUAGAAAAUAUGGCACCAGAGGGGCAUCUAGAACCAAAGCGGAGUAUCGUUAUUCUUAGAAGGGAGAAACGUGAGUAGACAUUCUCCUGUGGAAACGAAGGAGAUUUAAGAUCACAAAUUCCUGCAUCUGGGCACCUCACCCUCGCUCAGAGCUGUUUCUGAAGAGAAGUCCAAAGGUAAGGCCAAGAAACAGCCAUCUCUUUCACCUUCCUAACUCCUACUUAUCCUACAGUGCCCAGCUCAGCAUCACCUCCCUCAGGAAGUCCUCCACUCUAAGUACAAAAUGUUCCCAAGCCACUUUGUACUUAACUCUAUUAUGUUAAUCAUACUGUAUGUAAUUGGCCAUUUACCUGUCUGUCUCCCCAAUUCAGCUAUGAGCACAAAUCAUAUCUCAAUCAUAGCUUGAAUCUCUAGUCCCUGGCAUGUGCUAAAAAAUAUCUUUCUUAUAUUAAUUUAACCAAUUGGUCAAAUCCUUUCUAAGUACUAGAGCAUAGGUAACAGAUACAAGAGCAUUAAAAAAAUCAUAAUACUAAAGACAUGUUUACCACAAUACAUUUGAAAAACCAGGUGAAAUGAACAAUGUUCUAGAAAAGCAUACCAACAUUUACUAAGAAAAAAUAUGAUCCA